AUGAACGCUAGCGACAGGCUUAACACAUGCAAGUCGAGGGGCAGCACAGGUAGCAAUACCGGGUGGCGACCGGCGCACGGGUGAGUAACGCGUAUGCAACUUGCCUAUCAGAGGGGGAUAACCCGGCGAAAGUCGGACUAAUACCGCAUGAAGCAGGGAUCCCGCAUGGGAAUAUUUGCUAAAGAUUCAUCGCUGAUAGAUAGGCAUGCGUUCCAUUAGGCAGUUGGCGGGGUAACGGCCCACCAAACCGACGAUGGAUAGGGGUUCUGAGAGGAAGGUCCCCCACAUUGGUACUGAGACACGGACCAAACUCCUACGGGAGGCAGCAGUGAGGAAUAUUGGUCAAUGGCCGAGAGGCUGAACCAGCCAAGUCGCGUGGGGGAUGAAGGUUCUAUGGAUCGUAAACCUCUUUUAUAAGGGAAUAAAGUGCGGGACGUGUCCCGUUUUGUAUGUACCUUAUGAAUAAGGAUCGGCUAACUCCGUGCCAGCAGCCGCGGUAAUACGGAGGAUCCGAGCGUUAUCCGGAUUUAUUGGGUUUAAAGGGUGCGUAGGCGGCCUUUUAAGUCAGCGGUGAAAGUCUGUGGCUCAACCAUAGAAUUGCCGUUGAAACUGGGAGGCUUGAGUAUGUUUGAGGCAGGCGGAAUGCGUGGUGUAGCGGUGAAAUGCAUAGAUAUCACGCAGAACCCCGAUUGCGAAGGCAGCCUGCCAAGCCAUUACUGACGCUGAUGCACGAAAGCGUGGGGAUCAAACAGGAUUAGAUACCCUGGUAGUCCACGCAGUAAACGAUGAUCACUAGCUGUUUGCGAUACACUGUAAGCGGCACAGCGAAAGCGUUAAGUGAUCCACCUGGGGAGUACGCCGGCAACGGUGAAACUCAAAGGAAUUGACGGGGGCCCGCACAAGCGGAGGAACAUGUGGUUUAAUUCGAUGAUACGCGAGGAACCUUACCCGGGUUUGAACGCAUUCGGACCGAGGUGGAAACACCUUUUCUAGCAAUAGCCGUUUGCGAGGUGCUGCAUGGUUGUCGUCAGCUCGUGCCGUGAGGUGUCGGCUUAAGUGCCAUAACGAGCGCAACCCUUGCCACUAGUUACUAACAGGUAAAGCUGAGGACUCUGGUGGGACUGCCAGCGUAAGCUGCGAGGAAGGCGGGGAUGACGUCAAAUCAGCACGGCCCUUACAUCCGGGGCGACACACGUGUUACAAUGGCGUGGACAAAGGGAGGCCACCUGGCGACAGGGAGCGAAUCCCCAAACCACGUCUCAGUUCGGAUCGGAGUCUGCAACCCGACUCCGUGAAGCUGGAUUCGCUAGUAAUCGCGCAUCAGCCAUGGCGCGGUGAAUACGUUCCCGGGCCUUGUACACACCGCCCGUCAAGCCAUGGGAGCCGGGGGUACCUGAAGUCCGUAACCGCGAGGAUCGGCCUAGGGUAAAACUGGUGACUGGGGCU
rnacentral:rRNA from 1 species